GCUUGCUGGGGGGAUUAGUGGCGAACGGGUGAGUAACACGUGAGUAACCUGCCCUUGACUCUGGGAUAAGCCUGGGAAACUGGGUCUAAUACCGGAUAUGACUCCUCAUCGCAUGGUGGGGGGUGGAAAGCUUUUGUGGUUUUGGAUGGACUCGCGGCCUAUCAGCUUGUUGGUGGGGUAAUGGCCUACCAAGGCGACGACGGGUAGCCGGCCUGAGAGGGUGACCGGCCACACUGGGACUGAGACACGGCCCAGACUCCUACGGGAGGCAGCAGUGGGGAAUAUUGCACAAUGGGCGCAAGCCUGAUGCAGCGACGCCGCGUGAGGGAUGACGGCCUUCGGGUUGUAAACCUCUUUCAGUAGGGAAGAAGCCUUUCGGGGUGACGGUACUUGCAGAAGAAGCGCCGGCUAACUACGUGCCAGCAGCCGCGGUAAUACGUAGGGCGCAAGCGUUAUCCGGAAUUAUUGGGCGUAAAGAGCUCGUAGGCGGUUUGUCGCGUCUGCUGUGAAAGACCGGGGCUCAACUCCGGUUCUGCAGUGGGUACGGGCAGACUAGAGUGCAGUAUGGGAGACUGGAAUUCCUGGUGUAGCGGUGAAAUGCGCAGAUAU
rnacentral:rRNA from 2 species